GACGAACGCUGGCGGCAGGCCUAACACAUGCAAGUCGAGCGAAGCCUUCGGGCUUAGCGGCGGACGGGUGAGUAACGCGUGGGAACGUGCCCUUUGGUACGGAAUAGCCCCGGGAAACUGGGAGUAAUACCGUAUGUGGUCGAGAGACGAAAGAUUUAUCGCCAAAGGAUCGGCCCGCGUUGGAUUAGGUAGUUGGUGGGGUAAUGGCCUACCAAGCCGACGAUCCAUAGCUGGUUUGAGAGGAUGAUCAGCCACACUGGGACUGAGACACGGCCCAGACUCCUACGGGAGGCAGCAGUGGGGAAUCUUAGACAAUGGGGGAAAGCCUGACGGAGCAACGCCGCGUGUGGGAUGACGCUUUUCGGAGUGUAAACCACUGUUCAUGGGGACGAAGCACUGACGGUACCCAUGGAGGAAGGCCCGGCUAACUACGUGCCAGCCGCCGCCGUAACAC
rnacentral:rRNA from 1 species